rnacentral:tRNA from 1 species
GAUGGGAUAGCUCAAUUGGUUGAGAGCAUUGGCUUUCUAUGCCAAAGAUUUUGGUUCAAAUCCAGAGUCCAUCA